rnacentral:misc_RNA from 1 species
UCCGAGUUGACCCCGGCAGUCUCCCAUGAGUCCCCAGCCACCCGAAGGCGCUGCUGGCAACAUGGAACGAGGGUUGCGCUCGUUGCGGGACUUAACCCAACAUCUCACGACACGAGCUGACGACAGCCAUGCACCACCUGUCAGGGGCCCUUACGGACACUGCAUCUCUGCAGCUUUUCCCCUGAUGUCAAACCCAGGUAAGGUUCUUCGCGUUGCCUCGAAUUAAGCCACAUGCUCCGCCGCUUGUGCGGGUCCCCGUCAAUUCCUUUGAGUUUUAGCCUUGCGGCCGUACUCCCCAGGCGGGGUGCUUAAUGCGUUAGCUACGGCACGGAACCCGUGGAAUGGAUCCCACACCUAGCGCCCAACGUUUACAGCAUGGACUAC